rnacentral:rRNA from 1 species
AUUGAACGCUGGCGGCAGGCCUAACACAUGCAAGUCGAGCGGAUGAGAGGAGCUUGCUCUUCGAUUCAGCGGCGGACGGGUGAGUAAUGCCUAGGAAUCUGCCCAGUAGUGGGGGACAACGUUUCGAGAGGAACGCUAAUACCGCAUACGUCCUACGGGAGAAAGUGGGGGAUCUUCGAACCUCACGCUAUUGGAUGAGCCUAGGUCGGAUUAGCUAGUUGGUAGGGUAAAGGCCUACCAAGGCGACGAUCCGUAACUGGUCUGAGAGGAUGAUCAGUCACACUGGAACUGAGACACGGUCCAGACUCCUACGGGAGGCAGCAGUGGGGAAUAUUGGAAAAUGGGCGCAAGCCUGAUCCAGCCAUGCCGCGUGUGUGAAGAAGGCCCUCGGGUCGUAAAGCACUUUAAGUUGGGAGGAAGGGCUUACAGCGAAUACCUGUGAGUUUUGACGUUACCGACAGAAUAAGCACCGGCUAACUUCGUGCCAGCAGCCGCCGUAA